rnacentral:rRNA from 1 species
AUGCAAGGCGCCGUCUUAGCCUUGCCUUCCCAGGAUCGCUCCCACACCUGUCACGUUCGUGAUCGGCCUCCUCAACUGUGUAUCGAUCGAAAGGCAGGGCGGCAGAGCCCCCAACCGACGGGAGUAGUUACGUCCAGUAUGUCCCCCCUCGAUUCCCGACAUGCUAUGAUACCCNNNNNNNNNNCGGCUAACUCCGUGCCAGCAGCCGCGGUAAGACGGGGGGGCAAGUGUUCUUCGGAAUGA